rnacentral:tRNA from 1 species
GAAGGUAGAGCUCAGUGGUAGAGUGUGUGCUUAGCAUGCACGAGGCCCUGGGUUCAAUCCCCAGUACCUUCA